rnacentral:lncRNA from 1 species
UUCUCACGGGUGGGGGCUGGGAGGGGGCAGGGCUGGAGGUGGGGGUGCGGACAAAGGGACCCUGCGCGCCUCCCCCACGCCCGCCCUCGCGCGCGCCCCGCUGAGCUGAUCACAUCUGGAAUUCAUUGCUGCUGCCGCCGGCCGGAAAGGAGGAGGCGGAGACAGGGCGCGGCGAGUGGGGGGGCCAAGGCGGCUCUUCCCUCCCUGUCCCUGAGUCCCCAGUCCCCAGCCCCGGGACGCAGUGGAGCCCGGCGGGCAGUCCCAGCCCCUGCCGCGGCCGUCCCGGGGGACGCAGGCGCCAAAGCCCCUCCGGCCCGGGCAAGGAGCCGGAUCGGCCUAGCCAGCAUCAACAGCCCCAUGGCCCCGGCUGGCUACUGAGCCCCACCAUGGGCGGUGUGUACUCAGAGUACCUAAGCUCCAGCAAGGUCAGGGAACACUAUAAUUACACCAAGGAGAGUCCCGACACGAAGGAUACGCCCUCCCGUCAGGUGGCCUCGGCCCUCAUCAUCCUCCUGUGUUGUGCCAUCGUAGUAGAGAACCUGCUGGUGCUCAUCGCAGUUGCCCGCAACAGCAAGUUCCACUCGGCCAUGUAUCUGUUCCUGGGCAACCUAGCAGCAUCAGACCUGUUGGCGGGCGUGGCCUUCAUAGCCAAUACCUUGCUCUCGGGUUCAGUCACACUGGGGCUGACACCUGUGCAGUGGUUCGCCCGCGAGGGCUCUGCCUUCAUCACGCUCUCCGCCUCCGUCUUCAGCCUCCUGGCCAUCGCCAUUGAGCGGCACGUGGCCAUUGCCAAGGUCAAGCUCUACGGCAGCGACAAGAGCUGCCGCAUGCUGCUGCUCAUCGCAGCCUCGUGGCUCAUCUCGCUGGUCCUUGGCGGCCUGCCCAUCCUCGGCUGGAACUGCCUGGGCCACCUGGAGGCCUGCUCCACCGUUCUGCCGCUCUACGCCAAGCCCUACGUGCUCUGCGUGGUGACCAUCUUCUCGGUCAUCCUGUCGGCCAUCGUAGCUCUGUACAUCCGCAUCUACUGCGUGGUCCGCUCCAGCCAGGCCGAUGUGGCUGCCCCACAGACGCUCGCCCUGCUCAAGACGGUCACCAUCGUGCUGGGUGUCUUUAUCUUCUGCUGGUUGCCCGCCUUUAGCAUCCUCCUCUUGGACUAUGCCUGUCCGGUCCGCACCUGCCCUAUGCUCUACCAGGCCCACUACUUUUUUGCCUUCGCCACCCUCAACUCGCUGCUCAACCCAGUCAUCUACACGUGGCGCAGCCGGGACCUGCGGCGGGAGGUGUUACGGCCGCUGCAGUGCUGGCGGCAGGCAGCAGGGAUGCAAGGGCGGCGGGACAGAACCCCGGGCCACCACCUCCUACCCCUUCGCAGCUCCAGUUCCCUGGAGAAGGGCAUGCACGUGCCCACGUCACCCACAUUUCUGGAGGGCAACACAAUUGUGUGAGGGGCAAGUGGGCUGACAGCCAGGCCACCUUGGCAGAGAGUUCCAUGGAGAAGCUCCAGGGACCCGGGACAGAAAUGGGGCCGAGGGGGGCAGGGGUUGCCAAGUAAGAUGCCCCCAUUUCACAGACCCGGGUGAUGCUGAAGAUUUUUCAUGCUUGGGAUGGUCGACUGAGGCUUUGACCAGUCAGAUGGCACAGUGGCAGCAGGGUCCUGGGGCUCAGCAUGGUGACCUCGUUGGAACUGGAUUGUGGGGAGGACUGGGGACGGGGGUGGAGUGGGGGAACCUGGAAAGGGCCUGAGUGACAGCAGGCAGGUGCUCUAGUGGAACACAGCAAAGGAGCCAUUUCCAACCCCGUCUGAAGGAUGUCAGCAUUUCACAACGCUGACCUGCCGCCCUGCUUCUGACUCCCCUCUCUGAAUUUACCAUCCCCCCUUGCCACCUUCUUCUGGCCACCUCGGAGCCUACUCCCCUGGAACCACUGUGUCCCUAGGGGCUGGAGACCUCCUCUCUGACCUUUCUGGGUGGCCCUGGGGCUAACAGUUCCUGGCCUCAAAUCCACAGCUUCCCCAAAUGUCACCAGCUGCCACUCUGGCAACUUCUUCCUUGUCUUUUCUUCUCAUUCUACAAGUGAGAUGCCAGGAAACCACGUGGGGGGUGGGGGGGACUAACCCCCAUUCUCAGACCUCAUCGGCCAGAUUGCACUACUGGGGGCUCAGAAGAGUCACCCAGGGCUGAGAAAACUGGUCUGGGGACCUGAGGAGGGCUCUCCCAGUGGGGCAGGGUGGAAUAGGAGAAAGUUCUAGGGGAGCUGUUGACACCAGACCUCUGGCCCCCCAUAAAAUAACCACCCUUCCUCAAGCUCCACUCACUUCCAGACCCAGCCAAGAUACCCAAUCUAAGGCAGGACAGCCUUGAGCCUCCUGUGCCUGCUUUCCAGCUACAUCAGAUGGAGCACAGGGGGUGGGGGUACCAAGGACAAUGGUGGGAUACCCUCUUUUAACCCACUCCAGAAGGACUUUGCUAAAUUCUGUGGAUGGAGGGAAGGGAUAUUGCGGUACAAACAUGUAUUUAUGUGCGUCUGUCAGUGUCUGUGUGUGUGUGUGUGUGUGUGUGUGUAAUAUCUGUGGUCCCCUCCCCUUGCCAUGUCUCCCAGGAUGCAUGCUAUUUUGUCUCCUCUCGUCUGUAAUGAAGCUGCCAAAGAGGGGUCUGGUCCCUGCACCGACCCCUGUGUCAUUGCUGGCUUAUCUCCCCACUGGAGAACUGGGGUGCAGCUCACCUGGGGGUGGGGGGAAGGAACCCUCACACCUGAAAGUGAUUUCUUGUGACUGCAAAGGCUGGGGGAGGGGAUCUUUGGGGGGGCAAGGAGCCAGUUGGGGGCUUGUGUCCCCUUACACAGCUCCCCGGAUGCCCCUCCUGCCAGAGACUCAGGCCCAGGCCAAUAAACGGUUCAGUGUCUGUU